GCCGGGCCGGGGAUCCAGGAGGUGGCUCGCGGAGGCGCUUCCCGACAGUGACGCGCAGACUCAGCUCCCCCGCGGCCCGCCCUCCCGCCGGCCUCGCCGCGGUCUCCCUAGCUCCCUGAGAUCGCUGAGCUCUGAACAGCGGCCCAGGGAGGAGGCCUUGGGCGACGCGGCGCGGAGAGGGAGGGCGGGCGGGCAGUGGGAGCGCCGCGGGUCUCUAUAUGGCGACGGCUCUGUCGGGUCUGGCUGUCCGGCUGUCGCGCUCGGCCGCCGCCCGCUCCUAUGGGGUCUUCUGCAAGGGGUUGACCCGCACGUUGCUCAUCUUCUUUGACUUGGCUUGGCGGCUGCGCAUCAACUUUCCCUACCUCUACAUCGUGGCUUCCAUGAUGCUCAACGUGCGUCUGCAGUGCCUGAAGACCUGUCAUUAGAAGAGCGAGAAGAGCUUUUGGACAUUCGUAGAAGGAAAAAGGAGCUUAUUGAUGACAUUGAGAGGCUGAAAUAUGAAAUUGCAGAAGUGAUG